rnacentral:rRNA from 1 species
AUCGAAUGAUGCCGUCAGGCUUAACACUUGCAAGUCUAUCGAGCGUCGUACGGGUGCGUCAUGUCUGGGAUACUGCCUUAUGGAGGGGGAUAACUCCUUGAAACGGUAGCUAAUAACGCAUACCAUCAGAUGUGCCCAGAGGGGAUUAGCUAGUAGGGGGGGUAAUGGCUCACCUAGGCGACGAUCCCUAGCUGGUCUGAGAGGAUGACCAGCCACACUGGAACUGAGACACGGUCCAGACUCCUACGUGAGGCAGCAGUGGGGAAUAUUGCACAAUGGGCGCAAGCCUGAUGCAGCCAUGCCGCGUGUGUGAAGAAGGCCUUCGGGUUGUAAAGCACUUUCAGCGAGGAGGCGUUACUCGCAGAAGAAGCACCGGCUAACUCCGUGCCAGCAGCCGCGGUAAUAC